AUCCUUUUGUAGUUGAUGAACAAUGAUGAUUGGGUGUUCAUGCACAUGCGUGAGAUGUGUCACCCUCAAACCCUGUUACGUCGGCACGUUACCCAUCUGAUG
rfam:Pan troglodytes isolate Yerkes chimp pedigree #C0471 (Clint) chromosome 9, whole genome shotgun sequence.